rnacentral:rRNA from 1 species
UACGUAGGGGGCUAGCGUUGUCCGGAAUCAUUGGGCGUAAAGCGCGCGUAGGCGGCCAGAUAAGUCCGGUGUGAAAGUCAAAGGCUCAACCUUUGAAUGCCGCUGGAAACUGUCUGGCUAGAGUCCGGAAGGGGCGAGUGGAACUCCUGGUGUAGCGGUGAAAUGCGCAGAUAUCAGGAGGAACACCGGUGGCGAAGGCGGGUCUCUGGGCCGAUACUGACGCUGAGGAGCGAAAGCGUGGGGAGCGAACAGG